AUGGGUGGUGAUCUUUGACCGAUGCUUAAUGGUGGCGACGCAGGCCAAUUGUGGAGUUGCUGCCAAAUUGGAGCUAAAGCGAGGAAUAUUCUGACGUUUUCCACACAAAAGUAAAAUGUAUACUUUAUCUUCAAAUCCGAAAUUGCAACAGCGGAGGAUGCAUGUGCAUGUACGAGCCAGUCUGCCUUACAACAAGAGGAUGGCAAAAAAGAAGGAGCAUAUUCACUACAGCGUUGGACUACAAUGGCGGACUAGCUGUUUAGUGUCACAAUUUCCUCAGUAAACUCACUGAUUGGAGAGCUAACCUCCGCAGAUAGUGGGUCCAUGGCGGUGACUUCUGUUUUGUUUGAUCAGCCGUUUUACUGCCGUAUUACAGGCACCAAUUAAGUUUUCCAGAUGGCCUCACUCCUCUGUAUCCCAUAGUUCACAGCUCAGAACAUCCCAGAGCAGGCAUUUGCAUCAGGUCACUGCUCGCUCCAACCAACUAGAGGGUAAAAGUAGCGCUAAUCCUCCAAAACAUGCCACCCUGAAAAUGCUCUCUUUGUGAGCACAGCGCAGGGUCGAUAACAAUUCAUUCUGGUAUGUUCCUGUUCAAGCACUUAAUACAUUACAUUUAAAUUUACAAUUAUUUUGAAUAUAAUAUCUCUCUUUGAAUGCAAGUUUUGUAUGUUGCCUGCCGCAAAUGACGUGAGUACCGUAUUUUUCAGAAUAUAAGUCGCUCCGGAGUAUAAGUCGCACCGGCCGAAAAUGCAUAAUAAAGAAGGAAAAAAAGCAUAUAUAAGUCGCACUGGAGUAUAAGUCGCAUUUUUUGGGGAAAUUUAUUUGCUAAAACCCAACACCAAGAAUAGACAUUUCAAUCAAUCAAUCAAUCAAUCAAUGUUUAUUUAUAUAGCCCUAAAUCACAAGUGUCUCAAAGGGCUGUACAAGCCACAACGACAUCCUCGGUACAGAGCCCACAUACAUUUGAAAGGCAAUUUAAAAUAAAUAAAGAAUAGUGAACAACAGGCUGAAUAAGUGUACGUUAUAUGACGCAUAAAUAACCAACUGAGAACGUGCCUGGUAUGUUAACGUAACAUAUUAUGGUAAGAGUCAUUCAAAUAACUAUAACAUAUAGAACAUGCUAUACGUUUACCAAACAAUCUGUCACUCCUAAUUGCUAAAUCCCAUGAAAUCUUAUACGUCUAGUCUCUUACGUGAAUGAGCUAAAUAAUAUUAUUUGACAUUUUACGGUAAUGUGUUGAUAAUUUCACACACAAUUCGCUCCUGAGUAUGAGUCGCACCCCCGGCCAAACUAUGAAAAAAACUGUGACUUAUAGUCCGAAAAAUACGGUAUAUGAAAAAAGGUCUUGCAAUAUGCAUUUCUUGUAUCUGGAUAUCAGCAGGCAAAUAUGGAGGAAAUGCAAAUAUAAUCAUUUAACCCCAUUUUUCAUGAGUUGAACUCAAGGAUCUAAAACUUUUACUAUGUACUAGUGUUGUCUCGAUACCAAUAUUUUGGUACCGGUACCAAAAUUAUUUCGAUACUAUUCAGUACUUUUCGAUACUUUUCUAAAUAAAGGGGACCACAAAAAAAUUGCAUUAUUGGCUUUAUUUUAACAAAAAAUCUGUCUGCCUCCCAGAAUUAAAGCGGACACCUCAAACACAAGUAGGGAUGUACUACUGAGUACCGUUAUUUUUUUAAUCACCGUUUCCUAAUUGGGUCAGUCUAAGGCAGGGGUGUCCAAACUUUUUCCACUGAGGGCCACACACGGAAAAAUUAAAGCUUGUGGGGGCCAUUUUGAUAGUUUUCAUUUUCAAAUCAUAACAAAAUAUAUGGAUUUUUUUUUUUUUUUUACCUUUAGGGCUCCCGGGGACCAUAAAGGGUCUAAGUCAUUAAAAUGUUAAAACGUUGUUUUUUUUUAAUUUAACGCUUACAGUAAAUCUCUACAGUAUAUCAACUUCAGGUUGAUAUAAAAUUUAAAAAACCAAAUAGGUUUUAUGCCUUAUCUGUCAAGACAACUUUGUUUUUUAUAAUAAAACUGAAAUAUGCAGUAUUUCCCCCACUGCCCAAAACAUUCAGAAAGCAAUGUUUGAUGUGAAGUAAUUAGAGCCUUAAAAACAUACAUAAUGCAAGACACCAUUGAUAUUAAUUGAUUGUUAUUUUUGAGUAAUCACAGUGAAAAGAUAAAUAAAAUCCCAUUAAAUAUAUUUAGGAUACAAA